CCAUUGGCAUUGAAACAGGUAAAUAAAUUAUGUUGACCUAUAUCUUAACUGUAUAAUAUUCGUUAGAUAUCAUAAUAUUUAAUCUCAUUGUCUCCAUCAGUUCUCAAUGUCAAAAUUUCACUAUUUUGGAUCCGCCUCGGUAUAUCAAGAUCUUUUGUAUGAAAUCUCAUACCACCAAUAAUACAUGAGCUAUAACAUGAAGCCAC
rnacentral:lncRNA from 1 species